rnacentral:sRNA from 1 species
AAUCGUAACAACUUUCGUCCUUGCGUUA